CCCUGCACUUACCCGUGAAGUCUAUAAGCGCCCUGGCGAGCACAAGGCUGCGCAGAGGGCAUGGGGGAGGGGGGUUCCAACGACGUCACAUCAGCUGAGCUCUCGCUGCACACCUCCUUUGUCACCAACCCUCAUCUAGCCGCUGGAUGUGCACGUCCCUGGCAUCGCCGUUUCACAGCACGGACGCCGACCCCAGCUGACCGACUCCACAAGAUGCAAUGCAGAUUUUGUCUCACCAAGAGGUCGCGCAAGUAGUACCGCUGGCAGAGGAUACACUAGAUUUGAGUGGUCUGCAAGCGUAUUUGGAGACGUGAGUAUUUCGAACGGUUCAACGGUCAACACUCACAACGCCGUCGCAUACAAUCUGUCGGCGUCCAAGUUUGGCGGAGACGCGCCUGGCACACGCACCAGUGGCGGGAUUGUAGGAGCGUAAUCGCGGUGUUAGCGAAUGACGGUGGAGGAGCAGCCGCACUACGGCGUCGGCUACGCCCACCUCCACGUACUGCUGCGCGUGUCGUAGCCCACUGAGUGUCACGUCACGCACCGUUUGGUGUCUGUGAAGCUGGCCAACGCUCAAUAGGUAGUUCGGCACUCUAUCGCAUCUGCAGCGCCGGCGAAUGAGGUCGUUCUGCCGGACUUACAAGACGUCUCCCUGACGUGUGCGCGACAGACGCGGACUGAAGGAUACUGCCACUGUGCGAGUUGUGGGCCGGCACCGCUCAACUGUUCAUCUUCGUGGGAUGCGUGUUUUGGCGUGCUCCUGUGCACGCUGCGUUCCCCUCCCUUCCCUCUCCCGCUACGCGUUCCUCAGAACGCCACGGAAGACCGAGAACACGGCGCGUGGACUUGUGAGCGCACUGGGGAGUGAGCCCCGUCGACGCCCCGCGCAACCCUAAUAUCUUUUUUUUUGUAAGCGAGGCUGCCCUGACGGCAGGGUGGUGACGCGCGACCUAUUCUUCUGCGGUGCCAAGGCGAGCUCUGUGCACACGGCGGUCAAAUGCGGCAGCCGUAGCCUCAAGGGAUUCUGGCGGCGAAACUUGUCCGACGCCGGCCACAGGAGCUAGCGCGAAUAUGUGCUCAUGCUGCACAACUCUGAUGUUUGCGAUGUCGAGAUGCAGUGGGAUGGUGAUUAGCUAUUCGGCGGCGUGGAGGGCGUCUUCGUGAGCAACGAACAUCUGCACGGCAGUUCUCCUUAGCCCAUGUGCAGCUCAUGUGUGCUUGCUUGUGCGCGCUUUCGGGCAUUCUCGCACAUGUAUUCUUCUUUUUUUUUUCAGGACGUCCCGCAAUCCAGCUGCAUUUGCCGCGUGGUCGUGGUCGUGGCGACUACGGUUCCAUUUGGCGCUAGACUUUGGUCUUGAGCGUCUGUAACACAGUGGUGGUUGGCUUCCGGAAGCGGCUCAAGCGCAGCAGCGACCGCCGAAGAACGAAGCAAUCGGCAACUCACUGUAGUGACGGCACUCAUUGGCUGUCUUAUGUGUACCCACUGCGCGCCAGUGAAUAACCACAAGGCGACCAUAGGCGGAGAUUGCUUUUUUAGCGUGUGAGUCGACUCCAUGAUGCUUUAU
rnacentral:misc_RNA from 1 species